rnacentral:rRNA from 1 species
ACUGUCUCCUUUUUCUAAUCAGUGAAACUAAUCUCCCCGUGAAGAAGCGGGGAUACUAAUAUAAGACGAGAAGACCCCAUGGAGCUUCAAACCCAACUACACCCCCAACCCCUAUAACUACUAAAUCCUUGAGGCCCUGUAUCGUUGGUUUUAGGUUGGGGCGACCACGGAGUACAACAAAACCUCCACAAUGAACGGAAUUAAUUCCUAAUCUAAGAACUACAUCUCUNANAAUUAAAAUACUAACAUAAAAUGAUCCAUUUUUUGAUUAAUGAACCAAGUUACCCUGGGGAUAACAGCGCAAUCCAUUUCAAGAGCCCCUAUCGACAAAUGGG